rnacentral:rRNA from 1 species
UACGGGGGGGGCAAGCGUUGUUCGGAAUUACUGGGCGUAAAGGGCUCGUAGGCGGCCAACUAAGUCAGACGUGAAAUCCCUAGGCUCAACCUAGGAGCUGCGUCUGAUACUGGAUGGCUUGAAUCCGGGAGAGGGAUGCAGAAUUCCAGGUGUAGCGGUGAAAUGCGUAGAUAUCUGGAGGAAUACCGGUGGCGAAGGCGGCAUCCUGGACCGGCAUUGACGCUGAGGAGCGAAAGCCAGGGGAGCAAACGGG